UGGGGGAUAUUGCACAAUGGAGGAAACUCUGAUGCAGCAACGCCGCGUGAAGGAUGAAGGUCUUCGGAUUGUAAACUUUUGUACUUGGGGACGAUAAUGACGGUACCCAAGCAGCAAGCUCCGGCUAACUACGUGCCAGCAGCCGCGGUAAUACGUAGGGAGCAAGCGUUGUCCGGAUUUACUGGGUGUAAAGGGUGCGUAGGCGGCUAUGCAAGUCAGUUGUGAAAACUAUGGGGCUCAACCCAUAGCCUGCAAUUGAAACUGCGUGGCUUGAGUGAAGUAGAGGUAGGUGGAAUUCCCGGUGUAGCGGUGAAAUGCGUAGAGAUCGGGAGGAACACCAGUGGCGAAGGCGAC
rnacentral:rRNA from 1 species